CGGGUUUAAGUGGCGAACGGGUGAGUAACACGUAAGCAACCUACCCUAAAGACGAGGAUAACCAUUGGAAACAGUGGCUAAGACUGGAUAGGAAGAAAUAAGGCAUCUUAUUUCUUUAAAAAGACCUAGUAAUAGGUAUACUUUAGGAGGCCCUUGCGCCAUAUUAGUUAGUUGGUAGGGUAAUGGCCUACCAAGACGAUGAUGUGUAGCUGGACUGAGAGGUUGAACAGCCACAUUGGGACUGAGACACGGCCCAAACUCCUACGGGAGGCAGCAGUAAGGAAUUUUCGGCAAUGGAGGAAACUCUGACCGAGCAACGCCGCGUGAACGACGAAGUACUUUGGUAUGUAAAGUUCAUUUAUCAAGGAAGAAAAGCAAGUGGCGAACCAUUUGUUUGCCGGUACUUGAUGAAUAAGCCCCGGCUAAUUAUGUGCCAGCAGCCGCGGUAAGACAUAAGGGGCAAGUGUUAUCCGGAAUUAUUGGGCGUAAAGGGUGCGUAGGCGGUCUAGUAAGUCAGUGGUGUAAUGGCAACGCUCGACGUUGUCCGGCUAUUGAAACUGCUAAACUUGAGUUAGAUAGAGGCGAGUGGAAUUCCAUGUGUAGCGGUAAAAUGCGUAAAUAUAUGGAGGAACACCAGAGGCGUAGGCGGCUCGCUGGGUCUUAACUGACGCUGAGGCACGAAAGCGUGGGGAGCAAACAGGAUUAGAUACCCUGGUAGUCCACGCCGUAAACGAUGAGUACUAAGUGUCGGGUUAAACCGGUACUGAAGUUAACACAUUAAGUACUCCGCCUGAGUAGUACGUACGCAAGUAUGAAACUUAAAGGAAUUGACGGGACUCCGCACAAGCGGUGGAUCAUGUUGUUUAAUUCGAAGAUACCCGAAAAACCUUACCAGGUCUUGACAUGUUUUUGCGAAACGGUAGUAAUAUCCUAGAGGUUAUCACAAACACAGGUGGUGCAUGGUUGUCGUCAGCUCGUGUCGUGAGAUGUUAGGUUAAGUCCUAAAACGAGCGAAACCCUUAUCGCUAGUUGCCAGCACGUUAUGGUGGGGACUUUAACG
rnacentral:rRNA from 1 species